rnacentral:misc_RNA from 1 species
UCUCCGUUGGUGAACCAGCGGAGGGAUCGUUACCGAGUGCAAACUCAUAACCCUUUGUGAACCUAUAUCUGUUGCUUCGGCGGCUCGCUCUCGGGCGAGCCCGCCGGUAAUAUCAGUAUCUCUGUUUGAACCCGACGAUACUUCUGAGUGUUCUUAGCGAACAGUUAAAACUUUUAACAACGGAUCUCUUGGCUCUA